rnacentral:rRNA from 1 species
UAUUGGUCAAUGGGCGGGAGCCUGAACCAGCCAAGUCGCGUGAGGGAUUAAGGCCCUACGGGUCGUAAACCUCUUUUGCCCGGGAGCAGGGCGGCGGAUGUGUCCGCCGUUUGAGAGUACCCGGAGAACACGCAUCGGCUAACUCCGUGCCAGCAGCCGCGGUAAUACGGAGGAUGCGCGCGUUAUCCGGAUUUAUUGGGUUUAAAGGGUGCGUAGGCGGGCUUUUAAGUCAGCGGUAAAAGUUCGGGGCUCAACCCCGUCCGGCCGUUGAAACUGGGGGCCUUGAGUGGGCGAGAAGAAGGCGGAAUGCGUGGUGUAGCGGUGAAAUGCAUAGAUAUCACGCAGAACCCCGAUUGCGAAGGCAGCCUUCAGGCGCCCUACUGACGCUGAGGCACGAAAGUGCGGGGAUCGAACAG